ACGCUCGACACCUACGGGAGCCAGCAGUAGGGAAUCUUCCACAAUGGACGCAAGUCUGAUGGAGCAACGCCGCGUGAGUGAAGAAGGUUUUCGGAUCGUAAAGCUCUGUUGUUGGUGAAGAAGGAUAGAGGUAGUAACUGGCCUUUAUUUGACGGUAAUCAACCAGAAAGUCACGGCUAACUACGUCGCCGACAGCCGCGGUAAUCUGAGCGGGCUGGCAAGGC
rnacentral:rRNA from 1 species